UACGUAGGGAGCAAGCGUUGUCCGGAAUCAUUGGGCGUAAAGCGCGCGUAGGCGGCCCGAUAAGUCCGCUGUAAAAGUCAACGGCUCAACUGUUGAAAGCCGGUGGAUACUGUCGGGCUAGAGUACGGAAGAGGCAAGUGGAAUUCCUGGUGUAGCGGUGGAAUGCGCAGAUAUCAGGAGGAACACCAGUGGCGAAGGCGACUUCCUGGCCUGUUCUUGACGCUGAGGCGCGAAAGCUAGGGGAGCAAACGGG
rnacentral:rRNA from 1 species